UAACUGAGAUAUGGUGGCAAGUGAGUCUAAUGAGUAUAUAU
rnacentral:guide_RNA from 1 species